rnacentral:rRNA from 1 species
UACGGGGGGGGCAAGCGUUGUUCGGAAUUACUGGGCGUAAGGGGUUUGUAGGUGGCCGGCUAAGUCAGACGUGAAAUCCCUCAGCUUAACUGGGGAACUGCGUCUGGGACUGGUCGGCUUGAGGGCCGGAGAGGAACGCGGAAUUCCAGGUGUAGCGGUGAAAUGCGUAGAUAUCUGGAGGAACACCGGUGGCGAAGGCGGCGUUCUGGACGGCAUCUGACACUGAGAAACGAAAGCCAGGGGAGCAAACGGG